AACGAACGCUGGCGGCAGGCUUAACACAUGCAAGUCGAACGGUUGCAGCAAUGCAGCAGUGGCAGACGGGUGAGUAACACGUGGGAACCUUCCUAGGGGUACGGAACAACUCAGGGAAACUUGAGCUAAUACCGUAUACGUCCGUGAGGAGAAAGAUUUAUCGCCCUUAGACGGGCCCGCGUCGGAUUAGCUAGUUGGUGGGGUAACGGCCUACCAAGGCGACGAUCCGUAGCUGAUCUUAGAGGAUGAUCAGCCACACUGGGACUGAGACACGGCCCAGACUCCUACGGGAGGCAGCAGUGGGGAAUCUUGGACAAUGGGCGCAAGCCUGAUCCAGCCAUGCCGCGUGAGUGAAGAAGGUCUUCGGAUUGUAAAGCUCUUUUGCCAGGGACGAUAAUGACGGUACCUGGAGAAUAAGCCCCGGCAAACUUCGUGCCAGCAGCCGCAGUAAUAC
rnacentral:rRNA from 1 species